UGUGAUGUGAUUUUAUUUUUUAUAGUAAUUUUUUAUUUUAAAAGAGUACCUUUGGCCCUGUUUUCAUCUGGGAUCCAGAAUCUGUCUCGUGUGAUUCAUUCGCAGAUAGUCAGGUGAGACCACCUUCUGGACCUGGCAGUAAUGUGCAUCUUAUCUAAUCUUUUUUUUUUUUUUUUUUUUUGGCUAUAUAUAAAAUUAUUGCUCAAUUUACGCAUUUACACCUGAAGUAUAGUGUACUAGAGGUUCACACCCUGUUUAUCUGUUUACAUUUGUCCUGUUUCCAUUGGAGUGGCCAGAAAUUGGUAAUACCAGGUCUACAGGGGGUCUUGUUCUCAGCCUUACGCCCUUCGUCCUCCUCAGUAUGUGUAUAUAAACUAUACCAGUCACUACAAGGGGCUGCAUUUGCAAACUGACGACGUGCCAGGGGCCAAGACCAACGCAACCCCACCAGUGGCCCUAACUGGCCUAAGGAAGCGGGUGCAGCAUCGGGCGAUGAGCCCCAGGGCCAGCCAGGCCCAUUCAGACUUGUGAAUGUGGACAGUUGUGCCACUUAGGAACCUUACAAGUGGCGCGACUGGCCUCAUUGUGCAUCCUGGGAAACAGUCAGCUGCUUGUUGAAGCUUUGUGAUGGAGGACCAUCCCCACCUCCCUCCCUUCCUCCAAACUUAGGGGAGCCAGAGGGGGAGAACACAGGAAACAAGAUGGUUUAAAUGUCCCUCAAUAUCGUGUACUUCAGUAAAUUUACAGACGGCAUGUACUUUGAUAAAUGCGCAUAGUUUUUAAGACACAACAAAUAAAAAAAUAUAUUUAUACACUA